UGGCGAUGAACGGGAUUAGCCCAUCGCGGAACUGCAGGUCAUCUUGGCCUCGCGGAAUGUCGCGUUCGGGAGAGUCUUAUCGAGUUCUUUCCAGCCAGUCAAAGUCCAACUUGACUGUGGCCACUGCCCAUAGAGGGUGAUAGGCCCGUAAGGCGGCUGUUUGUUCUCGCUGACUUUUCCUUAGAGUCGGGUUGCUUGGGAGUGCAGCCCAAAGUGUGAGGUAAACUCCUCAUAAGGCUAAAUAUCACACCGAGACCGAUAGCAAACAAGUACCGUGAGGGAAGAUUGAAAAGAACUUUGAAGAGAGAGUUCAAUAGUACGUGAAACUGUGUGGUGGUAAACGGAGGGGUUCUCGAAGUUUCUGUGGGGAACUCAACCUUGGUGGUUUGCAGCCCUGUUGUCUUUGAUCAGCAAUGACUUUGCAGCUUGUCUCGCUUUCCUCCCGGGUGCAUUUCCCCCGCAGUUUACGACAGGAACCGUUUGGCUCAGACCGAAGGCUUCGGGUGAAGUUGUUGGUUCUGCCUUCAGCCCCGUUCUCCUGGCUCUGAACCAGACGGGUACGUGAGAGGACUCGUAUAUCGAGCAAUGCUCUGUUGCGGUUCUCAUCUCUCUGUCGAGUAGGUCGGCGGCCCCUCCGACCCGUCUUGAAACACGGACC
rnacentral:rRNA from 1 species